AGCAGCCGCGGUAAUUCCAGCUCCAAUAGCGUAUAUUAAAGUUGUUGCAGUUAAAAAGCUCGUAGUUGAAUUUCGGGGUUAGUAGGUUGGUCAUGCCUCUGGUAUGUACUGGUCUCACUGAUUCCUCCUUCCUGAUGAACCUUAAUGCCAUUAAUUUGGUGUUUUGGGGAAUUUGGACCUUUACUUUGAAAAAAUUAGAGUGUUUAAAGCAGGCAUUUUGCUUGAAUACAUUAGCAUGGAAUAAUAAAAUAGGACGGCAUGAUUCUAUUUUGUUGGUUUCUAGGAUCACCGUAAUGAUUAAUAGGGAUAGUUGGGGGCAUUAGUAUUCAAUUGUCAGAGGUGAAAUUCUUGGAUUUAUUGAAGACUAACUACUGCGAAAGCAUUUGCCAAGGAUGUUUUCAUUAAUCAAGAACGAAAGUUAGGGGAUCGAAGACGAUCAGAUACCGUCGUAGUCUUAACCAUAAACUAUGCCGACUAGGAAUCAGACGAUGUUAAUUUUUUAAUGACUCGUUUGGCACCU
rnacentral:misc_RNA from 1 species